rnacentral:lncRNA from 1 species
UGCAAAGGUGGUGGUGAGAGCAUGUAGAGCUCGUCAAUCAGUUAUACCGGGACCUAGUUCUAGUGUCAACCACUUAGAAACGUUAUCCAAAUGGAUUAAAAGGGAAACAAGUUCCAUAGAUGACGACUCUCAUGAGUUCACAAAAGAAUCAACUUUUCCUCGUGUUUGCGAAUGGAGAUUAGACAUGAAAACUGGAGAGAUUAAAGAGAAGAAGAAUCUAUCUGGAGAUGAGUUUGCAAUGGAAUUCCCUAUCAUCAAUGAAAAGUUCUCUGGAUUUAGAAAUAAAUUUGCUUAUCUACAAGUUGUUGAGUCAACAGAGUUGUCUGGCUCAGGUAAACUAUAUAUGUACAAAUCAAUUUUUAACAUCCUUUAUCACUUCUCUUACAAAUAAAUCUUAUGAUUUACUCAUUAAUUAUUUUAACAGGAUUCACUAGAUUUAGUGGGCUAGUCAAGCUUCAUUUUGAAGAAAAGAAAACCUUUAAUAUGGUAUGUAUACUAUAGUAUAUACAUUUCCACAAAAAAAAGAAGGGCUUAAUACUUCAUAUAGUACUAAUUAAUCUUUGGAAAAUGAAAUAUAUAGGAUGAAGAAGAUGAAUUGAUUAAAGCUGAAUAUCACAUGUUCCCAAAGAACACAUUUUGUUCAGGAACUUCCUUUGUUCCAAAACCUGAAGGCAUCGAUGAAGACGAUGGUUGGAUCAUUACAUUUACGCAUAACGAAAAUGAGAAUAUUUCUCAAGUAAGUAAAAUACAAUUAAUUUAGCUCGCAUCAAAAUUAUCAUAUUUGAACUCAUUAAAUUUAAAUAAUCGAUUCAUUUCUAAUAUGUUUAUUUCUUGUAGGUUUGUAUAAUUGAUGCAAAGAAAUUUACGAAAGAGCCAGUUGCUAUUAUAACUUUAUCGAGUAGGGUGCCAUAUGGAUUUCAUGGAGCUUUCAUGCCAUUAACGUCUUAAAAUGUAUAUGUAUGAAUUCCACUAGUUAGAUGCUAAGAUUAUAAAUUGUAUAAUUUUUUACUUUUUUUUAUAUGAUGUAAUCAAAUUUCUAAUCAUCACAUUAUAUUGUAACUCAUGAAGAAGCAUUUAGUGAAGUAUAGUAUGAUAAAGAAUUUUAAUAUAGCAAUUCAAAUUAUAUAUGGGAAUAUAUUCCAUUAAUAUAGCUCACAAUAUUGGAUACAAUAAAUAGUCCAGGAAGGGGCGAACCCACCCUCUGUCAAGAGGUGUCUAAUAAUAUUAAUGACAUAACUUUCCUUGACUCAUUUGUUUACUGUGCGGAUGGAGCAACCCAAAUUUGGGUUUUAAUUUUUGAGGCCUUUCCAGAUAAAAAAUAAAUAUUAUAGGAUUCGAACCUCUAACCUUCCAUUCCUAUUCAAAUUAAGAAAAAAAAUAAACCAGUCGAACUAAAAUAUAAUUUGCAUCCUAUUAUAGAAAUUUAAUUACUUACCCAAAAUAGAAUUGGACAUAAUACUAAGUAGAUUGAUUGCAUGAAGAUUAAAAUUAAGAAAUAAAUAUGUAAUGUAUCUUUGAUAUUUUGAGAGCCCAAAAACAAAACGAUUCUUUGGAUCAAAUCUUCUUAACAUUUGUUAGUUUUUUUUCUUUUCUCUUCCCAUAAGUAAGCGUAUAUAUACGUAGAGUAGAGCGGAUAGAAAGUAUUUGUUUGAUUUACAAGUCCAUAGACAGUACUUAAUUGUUUGAUUGGGGAUAUUAAUUACUUUUUUUUCUAUUAUUGAAUGAGAUCAAUGUGUUUUAAAUUACACUUCUGUAUUAACUCACAUCACAAGGAUAGAUGAUAUCCAAAUUCACUACUUUAGAGGUGGAACAUAAAUUUGUGUGUAGAAUUUAUUAAUAUUACAAGAAAUAGUACAUGUAAAUUCAUAACUUAAGAAUACAAUAAAUUAAGACUAAGAACUUUAUUAAUUGAACCCAAAAAUUUAAAUUUUAAAUCCACUUCUGACGGUAUAUAAGUUAAUUCCUUAUGGAAGGAAAUUAAGGGGUGAGGGUCAGGGCUGGCUCUUACUUACAAAAAUUAAGGCAGAUGCCUUAGACCCCCAGUUUUGGGGACUCAAUUUUUUUUCACUUAGAAUAAAUUAGGGAAAAAGGUCUGAAAUAUAUUUAAACUUUAAUCGAAAUUGUUGUUACGAUACCGAACUUUAUGGAGGACCUUCUACCACCUGCACUAUUUAAUAGUGUAUUUUAAAGGGAUAUAUGUGCCCACGUGGACAUCAAAAAUAUUGCAUCAUUUCAAAUAUUAAUUAAUGUGUUCACGUGGGCAAAUAUAUACCUUUAAAAUACACUUUUAAAAAGUGCAGGGGGGGUAAAAGGUCCUCCAUAAAGUUUGGUAUCGUAACAACAAUUUCGGCCAAAGUUAAAGUAUUUUUCAGACCCUUUUCCCAAAUAAAUUAUGCGUUGAUUUUUUUAAUUACUAUUUAUAAUAAAAAGUAUAUUUAUUUUCUUAAAAAAUAUUACUUAUUAAUUUAUUCUCCUUAACCCUAUUUUGCAAAUAGAAGAAAUAAAUCAUGAAAAUCUUAUUUUGCUUUCUUUGAGUUCUUUUUGCUAACACACAAUAUUCAUCUUUUUUUUCAACUCCUUUUGCACUCCCUUUCUCAAAUCUCUGAUAAGUUAGUGUAAUAUUCUAUCAAAAAUAUAAAUUAAUAGUCGAAAUUGUUAAUUACAAAUUAUUUUUUAUUUCUUCUUAAAUUUUCAAGCAUUACAACAAACAUAUUUAAGUAAGGUAUAUCAAGUUAUCAACUUCUUGAAUUACAUUCUAUGAUUCUAACUCUUAUCUUUAUUUAAAGUAUGUCAACUUAUUACUUAUAGAAUUAUGCUAACAAUCCAUAUCGUGGUUGCCUCAGUAAAAUGAUGGUUUUCAACGUUGAAUUAAUAUAAUCUUACCUAAAACUAAUUUUUAAAAAAGGUAUUUGAAGAAAUCAUAUUUUAAAAAAGAAUAUAAAGUAAUAACUUUAUGCCUCUAUGUUGGUGGUAUGUAUGACGGAGAUUCAAGAGUAAUGGGCUCGAAGUUUUAAUUUGUCGUAGUUCGAUCUUCGCGUUCUUUAUUUUAUUUGGUAAUAUUUCAAGUCAACCAUCGCUUGAAUGAAGACACCCGAUCGGUCCGACUUUCCCAAAUGCUCCCACCGGUCCUUCUCCUUUACGGGUCUGGAUUUUUUGCGUCGUUUCAGUCGUCGUGGUAGAUGGGAAAGAAAGAAAUGAAUGAAUGUUCUUUUGGGAAAAUGUAUAAUAAUAAUACACCUACCGAGACGAAAGCCAAAGGUGAGUCUCGUGGGUGGACCUGAUGGGGAAUAAGAAAAGGAGACGAAUAUAGCUAAACAGCUGCAGCAGAAAGAACGAAAAGUCAAAAGUCAUGCAUUACUAUUUUUUGUUUUUUAUUUAAACCUUAGUAAGACUAAAUAUACAAAAGAUAACUUAUAAGUAUUAAAAAAAAGGGCUAAUAAAUACGAAAAACGGUGAAAGUCAAUUAAUUCCUAAAAGUAAGCUCGUAAAUGCGAAAAUAUGUGUGAAAAAUGGCGGGAUUAUACGUAAUGUUUUCCCAACUUAUUACAAAGGUUCUCAUAUAGUUUUUUCGGAAAAAAAAUUCGGGUGCCCUAAAGGCGCCAGAUCCAUGGACUAAUACACACGAAAAAUGGUGAAAGUCUAGUAAUUCCUAAAAGUUGGCUCGCAAAUGAGAUAAUAUACUUGAAAAAAAUAGUGAAACUAUAUGUAAUGCUUCCCCAACUCAUUACAGAGGUCCUCAUAUAGUCUUUAAGAAAAAAAAAUGGGGUGCUCCACAGACGCAAGAUCCAUGGGCAAAUAAAUACGAAAAAUCAAGAAAGUCGGAUAAUUCCUAAAAGUUGGCUCGUAAUGCUAAAAUAUGUGAGAAAAAAAGAUGGGACUAUACAUAAUGUCCCCCUAACUAAUUGCGGUGGUCCUCAUAUGGUUUUUUCAGAAAAAAAAUUCGGGUGCUCCAAGACACCGGAUCCAUGGGUUAAUACACUAAAAACGACGAAAGUCGAGUAAUUCCUAAUAGUUGGCUCGUAAAUGCGAAAUAUGCAUGAAAAAAAUUGUGCGACUAUACGUAAUGUUUUCCCAAUUCAUUUCGAAGGUCCUCAUAUAGUUUUUUUAGAAAAAAAUUGGGGUGCCCCAAAGGCGUCAGAUCCAUGGGCUAAAACACAUGAAAAACAACGAAAGUCGAGUAAUUCCAAAAAAUUGUCUCGUAAGUGCGAAAAUAUGCAUAAAAACGGCGGGACUAUACGUAAUGCUUCUCCAACACAUUAAUAAGGUCCUCAUAUAGUUUUUUCAGGAAAAAAAAAUUGGAUGCCCUUAAGGCGCCAAAUCCAUGGGUUAAUAUACACGAAAAAUGGUGAAAGUCGGGUAAUUCCUAAAAGUUGGCUCGUAAAUAUGAAAACAUGUGUGAAGAAAACGGCAAGCCUAUACGUAAUGCUUCUCCAACACAUUAAUAAGGUCCUCAUAUAGUUUUUUCAGGAAAAAAAAAUUGGAUGCCCUUAAGGCGCCAAAUCCAUGGGUUAAUAUACACGAAAAAUGGUGAAAGUCGGGUAAUUCCUAAAAGUUGGCUCGUAAAUAUGAAAACAUGUGUGAAGAAAACGGCAAGCCUAUACGUAAUGCUUCACCAAAUCAUUACGGAGGUCCUCAUAUAAUUUUUUCAGAAAAAAAUUUGAGUGUCCCAAAGGCACAAGAUCCAUGGGCUAAUACACACAAAAGACGAUAAAUGUAAGGUCAUUUCUAAGAGUUGACUCGUAAAUGUGAAAAUAUGCGUGACAAAAAUGGUGGGACUAUACGUAAUGCUUACCCAACACAUAACGAACGUCCUCAUAUAGUUUUUUCAAAAAAACUUUCAGGUGCCCCAAAGGCGCCAGAUCCAUGGGCAUUACACAUGAAAUACAACGAAAGUCGAGUAAUUCCUAAAUUUGACUCAUAAAUGUAAAAUUAUGCAUGAAAAAAUGGCGGGACUAUACGUAAUGCUUUCUCAACUCAUUACAAAGGUCCUCAUAUGAUUUUUUCAGAAAAAAAUUGGGUGCCCCAAAGGCGCCAGAUCUAUAGGCUAAUACACUCAAAAAUUGGUGAAAGUGUGAUGAUUCCUAAUAGUUCGCUCGUAAAUGUAAAAAUAUGUGUGAAAAAAAUGGCAAGACUAUAUGUAGUGCUUCCCCAACUAAUUACGGAGGUUCUCAUAUAAUUUUUUUAGAAAAAAAUUUCGGUAGCCCAUAGGCGUCAGAUCAAUGGGCUAAUACUCAUCAUGAAAUGCGGCAAAAAUCGAGUAAUUUCUAAAAAUAGGCUCGUAAAUGCAAAAAUAUUCGUGAAAAAACAGUGGGACUAAACAUAAUGUUUUCCCAACUCAUUACAGAGGUCCUUAAAUAAUUUUUUCAGAAAAUUUUUUGGGGUUCCCCAAAGGUACUAGAUCCAUGGGCUAAACACACGAAAAUCGGUGAAAGUCGGGUAAUUUCUAAUAGUUGGCUCGUAAAUGCGAAAAUAUGCGUGAAGAAAAUAAUGAAACUAUACGUAAUGCUUUCCUAACUCAUUACGGAGGUCCUCAUAUAGUUUUUUGAGAAGAAAAUUUAGGUUCCCUAAAGGCGUCAGAUCCAUGGGCUAAUACAUACAAAAAAUGGUGAAAGUUGGGUAAUUUUUAAAAGUUUGCUCGAAAAUGCGAAAAUACGUAUGAAAAAAUGGCGGGACUAUACGUAAUUAUUCCCCAAUUCAUUAAGGAAAUCUUCAUAUAGUUUUUUCAAAAAAAAAUUCAAGUGCCCCAAGAAUGUCAGAUCCAUGGGCUAAUACACACGAAAAAUGGUGAAGGACGGGUAACUCCUAAAAGUUGGCUCGUAAAUGCAAAAAUAUGCGUGACAAAAAUGGCGGGACUAUACAUAAUGCUUCCGCAACACAUUAUAAAGGUCCUCAUAUAGUUUUUUCAAAAAAAAAAUGCAGGUGCCUCAAAGGCGCCGGAUCCAUGGGCUAAUACACACAAAAAAGGGCAAAAGUUGGUUAAUUCCUAAAAGUUUGCUUGUAAAUGUGAAAAUAUUUGUGAAAAGAAUAGCGGGACUAUACGUAAUGCUACCUCAACUUAUUGCGAAGGUCUUCAUAUAGUUAUUUCAAAAAUAAUUUCUGGGUGCCUCUAAGGCGUCAGAUCAAUGGGCUAAUACACAUGAAAAAUGACGAAAGUCGAUUAAUUCAUAAAAGUUGGCUCGUAAAUGCAAAUAUAUGCGUGAAAAAAGGGACAGACUAUACGUAAUUCUUCACCAACUUAUUACGGAAGUCCUCAUAUAGAUUUUUCUGAAAAAAAUUAUGGGUUCCCUAAAGGUGUCAGAUCCAUUGGCUAAUACAUAUGAAAAAAGCGAAAGUCGGAUAAUUCCUAAUAGUUUGCUCGUAAAUGCAGGAAUAUGCACACAAAAAAAUUGCGGGACUAUAGGUAAUGUUUCCCCAACUCAUUACGGAGUUCCUCGUAUAGUUUUUUUCAGAAAAAUUGUCACGCCCCGAGCCUACACCCUGGGCGGGACCGGCACCCGGAGACCAUUUCUGGCCCCAAGCGAACCCUUGGCCUAGCUUUCUUAACUCAGCGGAAACCUAACCCAACAGAAUAACUCAAUGCAAUGCAAUAUUACAAAACAACUUAACUUAUAAAAUAUGGCCAUAAAGGCAACUCGAAUCUCAAAAUAGAAUAUUUACAUAUAUAUAUAAAUGAGAGACUCAAAACUAACUGACUGACAGUCUGUUUAUGAAGCCUCUAAAAUACUGAGAUGGAUGUUGGGACAGACCCCGCAACAUCCUAACAAAACAAAAACUAAGAACACAAAAUAAUUGAGUCCUCCGGAAUGCAAGGAGGCUCACCACUGACUCUGGAGUGCUCAGCUGGAUCAACGACGUGCAGGAUGCAACAUAGGCUAGAAGGAAAUUUGGAAGAAACUGAAAAGUUUACCUUGCUCAACUCAACUCAACCUGACUGACUUCUUUCAAUAUAAGGCAAUUUAAAACAAGUGCGAUAUAAAGAAAGACUGUUUAAAACAUGUUAUAAACUCUGUGUGUAUGCAAAGAUAUAAUAAGCCUGAGAUGUAUAUAGAAAUACAAAUGAACUGAUGUAUAUAAAAUACAAUAAUUUCUGUGUAUAAAAAUACAAUAACUGUUGUGGGAGUUUCUCUAACCGACAACCAUCACAUAAGAGCUAUAGUGAUGAUACAGUGAUCGGCCUCACGCUGCCAGAGCAUCUUAUACCCGGCCAAAGGUAUAAGACCUGAACUGCCUAAUGGAUCCACUAGUCUAAUCUGAAAAGGAUUCAUCUAAAAAGUAUGAUCCUUUUCUACCCAUGGUGGCUAACAUGGUUCUAUGGGGGCUGUGGGUUCUUUGAACGCUCCCCCAAUUCGGUGCUCGAUACUACUCCCAAAAAUGUACUGGCUCUUAUGUUUUUAAAACAUAUUUCUUCCUGCUGAUAUGAGAUAAUUACUCAAAAACUAGCCCGAAGGCUCUUUUGGAAAUCUCAGUUUCCAACCUUGUUUAAAUGUAAAAACAUUUCUUUAAAACUUCUUUGGGAAUACAUAGUUCCCUAAUAACUUUGAGAAAAGAACUCAACUUUAAACUCUUUACUUUACUUGAACUCUUGGCUUGAUGUGAAACUCUUAACUUUUGACUUGACUUGAAACUCAAUACUUAACUUGGAACUUGAGCCUUAGAAUGAAGUUAAAACGUUCAAUGAAGACUCUUGGAAAACCUUAAAGACUUGCUUUGUUUUACUUGAAUUGGAAACUAACUUCACUUGACUUGGAAACUAACUUUCCUGAAUUGAAUUAUGGAUUCAAGGGUAAUGAUUUGUGUUUGGAAGGACCCCAUGAUGAUUAGGAAUAAUUUAGGACAGCUAGACUUAAGAAAAAUUUUGAAAUUUAAUUUUGAAGACAGAACAGAUUCUGUUCACAGAGGGAACACAGCUGCAAUGCAGACUUGCUUCAGGCAAGUUGCCUGACUUUUCUCCUUCAUGUUGCCAACUCUAAACCCUCUUAACUUCAAAGGUUCUUUUCCCAAACACUUGGGGUCAUAAACCCCUCAACAUACAGUGGAUUCCACUAAAAAACACAACCAAAUUCUGUCCCAACCCAGCAAGAACUUCAACAACACAACCAACAACUUCAACAACCAAAAUAGAUCUUUUCUUGGAAUUAAAAACGAGUUGGUGUGUGGGGGUAUGAACCAACCAACACUAAGGAUCAUAAAAUCCUCAAUAUACAAUAGCUUUCAGAUCAAGAACACAACCAAAUCGUGUCCUACAACCAACAAUAACUUCCACAACACAACUAACAAUAUCAACAACAACUAACAACUUCAACAACUUCAACAACAAAUUCAAUCUUUUCUCAAAUCAUAAAAUGAGCUUGGUGUGUGGGGAAAAGGAUCAACCCACACUAAAGAACUCACAUACCUUGAUAGGGAUCACCCCCGACGAAAUUCCACGACGGAAACUUGUUGAUCUCCUCUUUCUCCUCUUCUUCUCUUCUUCUUCUCUUCUUCACUCUCAAGAAUCCUAACUUUCUCUCUUUUAAAAUGGAACAAAAAUGAUCCACAAACAGCCUAACACAACAAUAUAACCUCAAAAGAAAUGAUUUGUGAAAAGACCAAAAUGCCCUUAAAUUUCCGGACGGACUCCCUGCCAACUGCCCCAACUUUCAAAGGGCAUAACUCGCUCAUACGAACUCGGAAUCGAGCAAACUCGGUGGCGUUGAAAAGAUCAUUCCACAAGCUUCGAAACCAUAACUGGAACUACUCCUAACUCAUCCUGAGCUAGGAGUUACAACUGCUCAAAGUUGGCCAAAAAUCACUGAUUUACUUAGCCAAAUUUUCCAGAUCUUGAAUUUUUUCCAAAUUUCCAGAUUAUUGACUUAGCCAAAUUUCCAAAUUUUGAAUUUUUUAAAAAAAUGACUACUUCCAAUUUCAAGCUUCUUCAUAUUCAUUUUAAAUUGUCGGAUGUUACAAAAAUAUUCGAGUGUCCCAAAGGAACCAAAUUCAUAGGCAAUUACACACGAAAAAUAACGAAACUAAGGUAAUUUCUAAAAGAUAGCUCGUAAAUGCGAAAAUAGGUGGACAAAAUUGCGGGACUAUACAUAAUGCUUCCCUAAUUCAUACAGAGGUCCUCAUAUAGUUUUUUCAGAAAAAACUUUUAAAUGCCCAUAGGCGCCAGAUCUAUGGAUUAAUACACACAAAAUACGACGGAAGUCAAGUAACUCCUAAAAAUUAGUUUGUAAAUGCGAAAUAUGCAUGAAAAUAAUGUGAAACUAUAGGUAAAGCUUUCCCAACUCAUUAUGGAGGUCCUCAUAUAGUUUUUUUUUUUUAAAAAAAAUUUAGGUGCCUCAAAGGUGACAGAUCCAUGGCUAAUACACACGAAAAAUGGUGAAAGCCGAGUAAUUUCUAAUAGUUGGCUCGUAAAUGUGAAAAUAUGCGUGACAAAAACGGCGAGACUAUACGUAAUGCUUCUUCAACUCAUUGUUGAGGUCCUCAUAUAGUUUUUUUAGAAAAAAAAUUUGGGUUCCCCAAAAACGCCAUAUUUAUGGGCUAAUAUACACUAAAUACGAUGAAAAUAAGACAAUUCCUCCAAGUUGACUCGUAAAUGCGAAAAUAUGCUUGACAAAAUUGGCGAGACUAUACGUAAUACUUCUCAGAUUAAUUACAAAGGUUCUCGUAUUGUUUUUUUAGGAAAAAAUUUUGGGUGCCCAAAGGCGCCAGAUCCAUGUGCUCAUAUACACGAAAGCAGUAAAAAUCGGAUAAUUCCUAAUAGUUAGCACGUAAAUACGAAAAUAUGAGUGAAAAAAAUAGUGAGACUAUACGUAAUGCUUCCCCAACUCAUUAUGGAAGUCCUCCUAUAAUUUUUUGAUUGCCUCAAAGGUGCUAAGUCCAUAAGCUAAUACACCCGAAAAAUGGUGAAAGUUAGGUAACUCCUAAAAGUAGACUCGUAAAUACAAAAAUAUACGUGAAAAAUGGAGGGACUAUACGUUAUGCUUUCCCAACUCAUUACAAAGGUCCUCAUAUAAUUUUUUCAGAAAAAAUGUUCGGGUGACCAAAGGCACCAGAUCCAAUGACUAAUAAACACAAAAAUUGUGAAAGUUCGAUAAUUCCUCAAUGUUAGCUCGUAAAUGCGAAAAUAUGCGUGAAUAAGAUGACGGGACUCUACGUAAUGUUUUCCAACUCAUUACAGAGGUCUUUAAUAUGGUUAUUUCAGAAAAUUUCCGAGUGCCCUAUUGUGCCAAAUCAACUGGCUAAUACACACAAAAAAGGUGAAAGUAAGGUAAUUACUAAAUGUUGGCUCGUCAAUAAGAAAAUAUGUGUGACAUAAACGGUGGGAUGAUGCGUAAUGCUUCCUCGACUCAUUACAGAGGUCCUCGUAUAGUUUUUUCAGGAAAUUUUUUUGGAUGCCCCAAAGAUGAUAGAUCAAUGGGCUAAUACACGCCAAAUAUGACGAAUGUCGGGUAAUUCCUAAUAGUUGGCACGUAAACUCAAAAAUGUGCGUGAAAAAAGGCGAAAUUAUACGUAAUUUUCUCCAACUCAUUAUGGGGGUCUUCAUAGUUUUUUUAGGAAGUAUCGUAAGUAUGUUUUAAGAUGAGAUUCACUUGUGUUGAUCAUGGCUUAUGACUUAUGUUGUUUAACUCUUAUACUUAUGUUGAUGUUGAUGUCGUCAGAUCCAUUGGCUAAUACACACGAAAAAUAGUAAAAGCUGGGUAAUUCCAAAAAAUUGGCUUGUAAAUGUGAAAAUAUGCAUGAAAAAACAGCGGGACUAUACGUAAUGUUUCCUCAACUCAUUACUGGUGUCCUUAUAUAGUUUUUUUCUGAAAAUAAUUUGGGUUCCCUAAAGGUGCCAGACUCAUGGACUAAUACACACGAAAAAAUGACAAAAGUCAGGUAAUUCCUAAAGGUUGGCUCGUAAAUGCGAAAAUAUGCGUGAAAAAAAUGACGGGACUCUACGUAAUGUUUUCCAACUCAUUACAGAGGUCUUUAAUAUGGUUAUUUCAGAAAAUUUCCGAGUGCCCUAUUGUGCCAAAUCAACUGGCUAAUACACACAAAAAAGGUGAAAGUAAGGUAAUUACUAAAUGUUGGCUCGUCAAUAAGAAAAUAUGUGUGACAUAAACGGUGGGAUGAUGCGUAAUGCUUCCUCGACUCAUUACAGAGGUCCUCGUAUAGUUUUUUCAGGAAAUUUUUUUGGAUGCCCCAAAGAUGAUAGAUCAAUGGGCUAAUACACGCCAAAUAUGACGAAUGUCGGGUAAUUCCUAAUAGUUGGCACGUAAACUCAAAAAUGUGCGUGAAAAAAGGCGAAAUUAUACGUAAUUUUCUCCAACUCAUUAUGGGGGUCUUCAUAGUUUUUUUAGGAAGUAUCGUAAGUAUGUUUUAAGAUGAGAUUCACUUGUGUUGAUCAUGGCUUAUGACUUAUGUUGUUUAACUCUUAUACUUAUGUUGAUGUUGAUGUCGUCAGAUCCAUUGGCUAAUACACACGAAAAAUAGUAAAAGCUGGGUAAUUCCAAAAAAUUGGCUUGUAAAUGUGAAAAUAUGCAUGAAAAAACAGCGGGACUAUACGUAAUGUUUCCUCAACUCAUUACUGGUGUCCUUAUAUAGUUUUUUUCUGAAAAUAAUUUGGGUUCCCUAAAGGUGCCAGACUCAUGGACUAAUACACACGAAAAAAUGACAAAAGUCAGGUAAUUCCUAAAGGUUGGCUCGUAAAUGCGAAAAUAUGCGUGAAAAAAAUGGUCGCACUGUACGUAGUGUUUUUCCAACUCAUUACGGAGGUCCUCAUAUAGUUUUUUUCAGAAAAAAAUUUGGGUGCCCCAAAGUGUCGAUCCAUGAGCUAAAACACACGGAAAACGAUGAAAGUUGCAUAAUUUCUAAAAAUUGGCUCAUAAAUGUGAAAAAUCCGUGAAACAAAUGGUCGGACUAUAACUAAUAUUUCUUUACUCAUUAUAGAGGUCCUUAUAUAGUGUUUUCAGGAAAACUUUUUGGGUACCCCAACGGCGGCAAAUUCAUGGGCUAUUACACAGAAAAAUCAAGAAAGUCAUGCAAUUUUUAAAAGUUGACUCAUAAAUAUGAAAAUUUGAAUGAAAAAAAUAGUGGAGCUAUACAUAAUGCCUCUCUUACUCAUUUCGGAGGUCCUCAUAUAGUUUUUAAGAUAAAAUUUAUAGGUGCUCCAAAGGCGUUAGCACAGACUAAUACACUAAAAACAGUGAAAGUCGGGUAAUACAUAAUGAUUCCCCAACUCAUUUCGGAGGUACUCAUAUAGUUUUUUGAGAAAAUUUUUUUGGGUGCGUGAAUGUGAAAAUAAGCGUGAAAAAAAUGGCGGGACUAUACAUAAUGCUUACCCAACACAUUACAAAGGUCAUUAUAUAGUUUUUUCAGACAAAAUUUUUGGGUGCCCCAAAGACACCUGAUCCAUGGGCUAAUACACACGAAAAGCGGUGAAUGUUGGAUAAUUUCUAAAAGUCGGCUCAUAAAUGUAAAAAUAAAUGUGACAAAAACGGCAGGACUAUACAUAAUGCUUCCCAACUUACUACGGAGGUCAUCAUAUAAAUUUUUCAGAAAAAAAUUUCGGUUGCCCAAAAGGCGCCAAAUCCAUGGGCAAAGACAUAUGAAAAAGGGCAAAAAUUAGGUAAUUCAUAAAAAUGGCUCGUAAAUGCGAAAAUAUGAAUGGAAAAAAAUAACGGGACUAUAUGUAAGGUUUCUCCAAUUCAUUACGGAGGGACUCAUAUAGUUUUUUCAUUAAAAUUUUGGGGUGCACAAAGGAGUCAAAACCAUGAGCUAAUACACACGAAAAACAGUGAAAGUUGGGUAAUUCCUAAAACUUGGCUCGUAAAUGCGUGAAAAAAAUCAACGAGACCAUAAGUAAUGCUUCUCCGACUUGUUACAAAGGUCCUCAUAUAGUUUUUUUUCAGAAAUAUUUUUUGGAUGUCCAAAAGCGCCAGAUCCAUGGGUGAAUACACACGAAAAAUGACGAAAAUCGGGUAACUCCUAACAGUUGGUGUAACACCCCAGAAUUUUUUUGAGUUAAGACCCGAACCUUUCUUCGUAGUGAGUGAGAUUUUUGCAUGGAAUUAAAAAUUUCUUAAGUGUUAAGGUCAUUAGAUGUAGCACCUUGAGUUCCAAAAGGAAUUAAAUUGAAAAUAGCAAAAUCUGAAAUUUUGCAAGUUAAGCUAAUUAUGAGUUUUGGGUCGACUUCAAAGGACCAUAACUCCUAGAUCAAGAUGAGUUAGGUGUGCUACCAGAUACCGUAGGAAAUACCUUUGAAUUAUCUUUCUAACGCCGCCAAGUUUGCUAAGUUUCGAAUUUGGAUGAGUGAGAUAUGACCUUUUGAAGUUAGGCUGCCCAGUUAAGGAAAGUUAGCCGGAAAUAGUAAGGGGUAUUUUGGUCUUUUUCUUACCCAAUCAGAUUUAAUUCAAUUUUAGUAAUAUUUUAAUUUUUAGGGGUAUAAUCUGAUUAGGUUCAGUUUUAUAAUCCUAGUUUACGCCUACGGUUUUAGUUGAGAGUUCAAGAAGUGAAAAGAAGAGAGAAGAGGAGAAAAGAGGAAAGAAUGAAGGCGUUCGUCGACGUUCUUGAGAAUUAUUGCAGAUUGUCGCCAUGGGUUUGAUCCCUAAGAGGUAUGUAAGUUUCCAUAGUGUUGGGUUCUUUCACCAGCACACCAAUCAUGAUUUAUUCAGCGUAAUUCCGUUCUUGAAAUUUAAGGAUUUAAGUUCUUGAUAAGUGUUCUUGAGGUUUCAUUAAGUUUUGAAGUAAGAUUCUGCUUGGGUCAAUUUUAAACGACCAUAUAUCUUAGAAUAUUAAGAGUUAUGAGAGCCAUAACCUAUAAAAUUAAAGGUAAUUGAAUCUACUUUCCAAUCCCACCAAUUUCACAUCAAUCCAAUAUCAGAGUAAAAAGUUAUGACUAUUUUAGUAACCUAUACAGUGCUGUUACGAAUUAGCCGACGGGAAAAUAUUGAAAAUAAUCGUUUGUCUUUUUACCUCCAAGAAAACCAUUAACGAAUUUCUUGACUAAUAAAAAGCUCAAAACAAUCAGAUUUUCAUCUUCACUAAUGAAAAAUCAUAAUUCUUGGCCAUUUGAGAUUUUCAAGAACUAAUUCAAAAAUCUCAAGAAAUGUUUUCUUGAUUGUUUACCUUCAAGCUAGGGUUUUCAAGGCUUCUAAUCAAGUUCUUCUUCAAGAUUCUUUAAGAUUCUUCAAGAAUCUUGUUCUUUUAGGUAUGUAAGGCUAUCAUAGUGUUGGACUAGUUCGUCCUCACGCCCUACAUCUACUUUCAGAUCAGUAAAAGAGUAAUUUAGGAUACUUUCCCUAGAUUUGAGUAUUCUUGAGAUAAGUUGAUUUUGAGUUCUUGAAUUCGUGUUUCUUUUAAAAGUUCUAUUCCUAAUUAUCGAAUAGCUAUAUUGUUAUUGAGAUCCUGCAUAUCAUGAACCAAAACUCUUGAAUUCAUAAUUCACAUUCAAUAGAGAGUUAAGAGUAAAGUUCAAGAAAGCCUUUGAGUUCAAUUGUGAAUCCUUUGAGAUCAACCAUCGAUUUGAACUAAGUCUUGAGGUAGUAAGUAAGAGAAUGAGAAGUGUCGUAUACAUGGGUUCCAUGUAGUUUGUAGACCUUCGAGUCAAGUCGUUCAUGCCCAUAAAUUCCGCAUGAACUCCGUAAGUUGAGUAUCUAUGAGAGAAGUAAUAUCCUCAUAUCCUAAGUCUUAAGUAUUGAGUUUCUAACCCAUUUGAGAUUACAUUCCUAAUCAUGAGACUAUUACCUAUUACCCAUGAAGUUCAUGAGUUGAGUUGUUCACGCCCAUAAUUCCGCAUGAACAUUAUAAGUCGAACAGUCUUGAGAUAAGAAGUAUCUUUGAGUCAUUGAGUUGAGUAGUUCAUGGUCAUAAAUCCCACAUGAACCCUCUGAGUUGAGCAUUCUUGAAGUGAGUAGUAUCAUUGAAGUUCUUGAGUUCCAAGUAUGUGAGUUCUAUCUAUUGUUAUUGAAAACCUUGCACUGAGUAGUUCAUGUCCAUUAUUUGGUAUGAACCAUAUUUUAAGAAGUCUUUUACAAACGUUUUAACUUUGUUUUAAGACUUNNNNNNNNNNNNNNNNNNNNNNNNNNNNNNNNNNNNNNNNNNNNNNNNNNNNNNNNNNNNNNNNNNNNNNNNNNNNNNNNNNNNNNNNNNNNNNNNNNNNNNNNNNNNNNNNNNNNNNNNNNNNNNNNNNNNNNNNNNNNNNNNNNNNNNNNNNNNNNNNNNNNNNNNNNNNNNNNNNNNNNNNNNNNNNNNNNNNNNNNNNNNNNNNNNNNNNNNNNNNNNNNNNNNNNNNNNNNNNNNNNNNNNNNNNNNNNNNNNNNNNNNNNNNNNNNNNNNNNNNNNNNNNNNNNNNNNNNNNNNNNNNNNNNNNNNNNNNNNNNNNNNNNNNNNNNNNNNNNNNNNNNNNNNNNNNNNNNNNNNNNNNNNNNNNNNNNNNNNNNNNNNNNNNNNNNNNNNNNNNNNNNNNNNNNNNNNNNNNNNNNNNNNNNNNNNNNNNNNNNNNNNNNNNNNNNNNNNNNNNNNNNNNNNNNNNNNNNNNNNNNNNNNNNNNNNNNNNNNNNNNNNNNNNNNNNNNNNNNNNNNNNNNNNNNNNNNNNNNNNNNNNNNNNNNNNNNNNNNNNNNNNNNNNNNNNNNNNNNNNNNNNNNNNNNNNNNNNNNNNNNNNNNNNNNNNNNNNNNNNNNNNNNNNNNNNNNNNNNNNNNNNNNNNNNNNNNNNNNNNNNNNNNNNNNNNNNNNNNNNNNNNNNNNNNNNNNNNNNNNNNNNNNNNNNNNNNNNNNNNNNNNNNNNNNNNNNNNNNNNNNNNNNNNNNNNNNNNNNNNNNNNNNNNNNNNNNNCAGACACAGGUAUUCAGGAUCAUCAACAGGAGCUUCGUUGAUACAUCCGAGAGUUCGAGUUAGCUAUGGUGAGCCUCCUUAUUUUUCGGAGGAUUUUAUUUACUUUUCAGUUUAGUUAGGAUGUCGUGGGUCUUGUCCUGACUUCCAUCGUUAUCAGUUAGAGGCUUCAUAGAUAGUCAGUAUAGUUGAGAAGUCUGUAUUAUUCAUUUAUUUUAUUAAAUGUUUUAAAGACUUAAGUUACCCAUUUUGGGGCGAGUUAAAUAUAUUAUAUUGUUAAGAUUUUUCUUUGGAUUUAAAAUUUGUAUUUAAGUUUUAUGAACUCUUAUUUCAGUUUUAAGCUUUUGCAUGCUUAAGUUAGUCUUCCGCUUGUAGUCAGCCGGAUGAGGGUUCGCUUGGAGACCAGCAAUGGUCUUCGAGUGCCGGCCACGUCUAGGGUGUAGACUCGGGUCGUGACAGUUGGCUCAUAUAUGCGAAAAUAUGAUUGAAAAAAAUGGUCAGACUAUACGUAGUGCUUCCUAAACUCAUUACGUCUUAUAUAAUUUUUUUUGAGAAAAAAAAUUCCAGGUGCCCCUAAAUCGUCAGAUCCAUAGGCUAAUACACAUGAAAAAUGACGAAAGUCGCGUACUUCUUAAAACUUGGCUCAUAAAUGUGAAAAUUGUGUGAAAAACGGUCGGACUAUACAUAAUGCUUCCCCAACUCAUUACAGAGGUCCUUAUAUAGUUUUUUCAGGAAAAUUUUCGGGUAUCCCAAAGGCACCAGAUCCAUGGGAUAACAUUAGCCCGCGAAAAAUGACAAAAGUUGGGUAAUUCUUAAAAAAUGGAUCGUAAAUGUAAAAAUAUGCGUGAUAAAAAUGGCCGAAUUAUACGUAAUGCCUCCCUAACUCAUUACGGGGUCUUCAUAUGGUUUUUUUAGAAAAAAAUCUCGGGUGCUCCAAAGGCGCCAGAUUAUGGGUUAAUACACACGAAAAAUGACAAAAGUCGGGUUAUUCCUAAAAGUUGAUUUGUAAAUGUGAAAUAAUGUGUAUAAAAUGGCAGGACCAUACGUAAAGCUUCCCCAACUAAUUACAGAGUUCAUAUAGUUUUUUAUGAAAAAAAUAUUCGGUGCCCCAAAGGCGCCAGAUCUGUGUGCUAAUACACAUGAAAAACGGUGAAAGUCUAAUAAUUUCCAGAAGUUGGAUUGUAAAUGCGAAAAUAUGCAUGAAAAAAUGGUGGACAAUAUGUAAUGCUUCACCAACACAUUACAAAGGUCCUCAUAUAGUUUUUUCAGGAAAAAAAAAUUUGGGUGCCCCAAACGCGCUUGAUCCAUGGGCUAAUACACACGAAAAACGGCUAAGUUGGUUAAUUCCUAAAAGUUAGCUCGUAAAUGCAAAAAUAAGCGUGAAAAAAAUGGCGUGACUAUACAUAAUGCUUCCCCAACUCAUUAUGGAGGUCCUCAUAUAGUUUUUUCAGAAUAAAUUUUCUGGUGCACCAAAGGUGUAAGAUCCAUAGGCUAAUACACACGAAAAAUGAUGAAAGUCGGGUAAUUACUAAAAGUUGGCUCGUAAAUGCGAAAAUAUGUGUGAAAAAAAGUAUAUAUUGGAUUAUCAUAUGGUAUAUAUACUAUAAUACAAUUCACAUAAAUUAUCUUCCAAAUACGAAGAUUUGUUUUUUCGUAAGCGUAUAUAGCCGCCCCUAUACUGUCCUACAACAGGAAGUAUGUCAAUUGUAAUGUCCUUGAUUACUUAGAGGAGACAAAUUUAAAAGUAUAUAUUGGAUUAUCAUACGGUAAAACGUCAAUAUUUAUAAUGGUAGGGUUGAUAGAGUUGUUGCAAGGACAAAGUUAUAGAACAUUAUUAGUGGUCCUUUUGUAAGAAUUUGUAUACUACUAAUUACAUCAUGUUAGCUAGGCUUUAUAGUUUGACACACAAAAAACUUUAAUUAAUCACUGCACCUAAAACACUCAUCCAAAUAUUCCUAAUAGUAGAAUUUUAAAGAGAAAAAGGCCUUGAAAGAUAGAAUAUGUAGUAGAGUAAUAAUUUAAUUUUGUAUGCGUUCAAAAGUCCAAUUGUUGUUUGUAGGAUUUUCAACUUAUUCUCAGUACUGCAUUGAGAUUGCUAUAGCUAGCUCCAACACUUAUAUGAAACUGCAGAAUAUUGUGGACGUUGUAUUACAGAUUUACCUUAUUAAUUACUCUCAUAGUUAGAGGUGAAGUCAGAAUUUUAACUUUAUGAAUUCUGAAUUUUCUAAAGAUAAUUUCAAAAAAUUGACUUCUAUCAAAUCCUCUCUUCUAAAUAAAUUUCCCCUGCUAACAAGGAUUUACUAAUUUGAGGGGGGGCUAGGAGGUUGAUGCCAAAACCGAUGAUUGACAAGUAUUUAUUGGUGGAGCAUAUGUAUAUGUACAAAAAUUAUAAUAAUACAAAGUAAAUAGUACUAUUAAAUUUUGAGUGAAGUAAAAUAUAAAUAUCAGGCACUAAAUUCCAAGUUGGAAUAGACAAAUUAAAUUAAUAUGAAUUGUGAUAUAUAACAAGUGGAUAUGGUUGACACAAAAUAUAGGCGAUUGACGCAUAAGACCCACAACGGGAAAAUAAACAACACAUUACACAUGCCUAAAUACCUCUUCUGCUAAAAAUAUGUCUAAAAUGGAUGUUUCCGACAAAAUUGGAUACAAGUCAAAGUUUGUAUGCUAAAAAUAUCUUUGGACUAUCUAAGAAAAUUUAAAUGUGUUUCUUAUUCAUUUAUUUGACUAAAAGUAUUCCUCAAUCCAUUUUUUUUGGUUCACUUUUACUCUUAAAACUUAUAUUCUUUUUAAUUAUUAUUAUUAUUAUUAUUAUUAUUAUUAUUUAUUAUUAUAUAAUAUCUUCCUAUUGAAUAAAAUUAAAUCUCCAAUCGAAUAGAUAUUAAGCAUUUACGGGUUCAAUCAUUGAGUUCUAUUAUUUUGUAAUAAAAUACAAAUGAUAAAAUUUGCAACUUCUUUAGACCACCAGUAGCAGAACAUAGAAAUUGCACCCAAUGGGAAAAUAUAAGGCUUUAGGGUGUGUUUGGUAUGAAAGGACAAUGUUUUCUGUGUAAAAUGUUUUCUAACUUAUUUUUUCAUGUUUGGUUGGUGAGUAGAAAAUAUUUUAUGAAAAAUAUUUUUUAAUGUUUGGCUAGUGAAUGAAAAAUAUUUUCCAAAAAAAUAUCUUUUAUUUUUUGUUUGAGAGUAGAAAAAUACUAUUUUAAGAGAAUAUUCUGACCUGUGGCAUAAAAAAUAAAAUUUUAAAUUAUUUUUCAAAAAUAUUUUAAAAAUAAUUGGCGGGGGAUUGGCGAUUCGGGGAUGGCUGAGUAGGGGUAGGGGGUAGGGGGUAGAGAUGGUGUAAAAAGUGAAAAUUUUAAAUUUUAAAUAUUUUUCAAAAAUAAUUUUUUUCAACGAGGGUGUCAGGAAUAGGGGACUGGGGGGUGACAUAAAAAUGAAAAUUUUAAAAAUUUGAAAUAUUUUGCAAAAAUAAUUUUAAUUUUUUUUGGGGUGGCCUGGGUGGGGGUGUCGGGGGAGGGGGGAAUUUUUUUUGACGGGGUAGCUUGGGUGGGGUGGAAGGGGGUGAGGGUAGUGGCGAAGCAAGAAAUUUUAUAAAGGGUGUCUAAGAAUUACAUUAAUUAAAAAAAUGACGAAUGGGUGUACUGAAAAUUUUAAAAUCAAACUACGUAAUAUUAAUAAUUAAAUUUCUUUUAUGAACAAAUGUACAAAAAAAUUUAAAGUUAAACUACAUAAUAUUUAAUGUGUAUAUUUAGUUCAAUACAACGUGAUCGGACAGAAGAAAAAAAAGAGAGAAAAUAAGAGAAAUUUCAACUUAGGAUGACGUUAUUUUUACGCUUCAAAAGACGAGGACAGUAACAACGAGACAUGUAAAAUAAAGAGUACAAUCAAACAAGUUUUUUUAAAAAGAAUUCUAUAUGAAGCCUUUUUUUCUUUUAGUUGUUUUAUAUAAAAUUUUAGGGUUGUUUAUGAACUUAAAUUAAAUAAAAAAAUAAGUUUUAUUUAAAAUUUUAAUUAAAAUAAAAAAGUCAAAGUUAAAUCAAUUAAAAUUCUGUUUGGCUGUUAAAUUUUUAAUUUUUUUCUUAAAUUUUUAAGUUGUAUCUAAUUAAGGAUUAUUUUAUCAAAUAAUAUUAAUUUUGAAUUAUUUCUAAUAAUAGAUUUAUUAACUAUUAUUUAGGUUUAGAAAGCAACUAAAAAAUUUAAAAUAUAAAAAAUGGCAUAAAGGACAAAUAUUGUUGGUGAGAAUCGAACUUGCGCUCCCCGCUCCCCCUGCCCGUUACUUUUUCAUCCCCUAGAAUCACUGAGGUACACAUGCUUGAUGGGCUUAGCGUGUCCAAAAUAUAUUAAGUAGUCAUUUAGGGUACUAUUUUACUUAUAUAUACGGUAUAAUUUUCUGACGAAUCGGACACCCUGACACCACUGUAGCUCCGCUCCUGGGUGGGGGGUCGCGUAAAAAAUGAGAUUUUUUUCAAAAAAAAAAUUCUACAAGGGUGGCCGAGGGAAGGGGCGUAAAGAAUGAUUUUUUUUUUAAAAAAUAGAGAUAUUUUUUCAAAACAAUUUUUUUGUAGAGGAAGAGAGCAGGGGGUUAGGUGAGGUAAAAAAAAUCUAAAAAUUUGAAAUAUCUUUCACAAAUAAUUUUUAAUUUUUCACAAAUAAGUUUUGUUUGUCCGACAAGGUGUUGAAAGACUUGAAAAAUGACUUCUCCACCUGAUCUCAAACAGUGACCUCUUAGUCGGUGUCGGUAAAAUAACUGGAGACUCAAAUGUGAUAGAUCUCCACCCAUUUCAAUCCAAGGCAAAAUUAAAUAUUUACUAGUGAUACCAUACUAAAUCCCAAGAAUGAUUGUUGAAGAAAUUAGAACUAUAUCGUGUCACGAUGUUAAAUAAGACGCUUCUUAGAAGGCAAUUCAAGUUUUACUUUUAUUUUGUUGCUUUCAAUAAUUGUGUAAGGUUCCACUAGUCUUAUGAGUUAUGACACUCGAAUAUAGGGGUGUACAUAGUCGGGUUGGUUCGAGUUUUUCAAAUAUCAAACCAAACCAUUUGUGUUGGAUUUUUAAAUUUAUAAACCAAACCAAACCAAUAAAAGUCGGGUUUUUCAACCUCGGGUUUUUUUGGAUUUUUCGGUUUUUCGGGUUGUUUUGGGUUUUUCCGGUAAAGUAUUCAUACCAACAUAUAAUUUACUUGUUACUUCAAAUAUUUCUUUAGUCCUACCAAAAUACAACUAUCUAAGAUGUUUCUUAAAAAUAUAACACUAUAUGAUAUGAUUAAUGACACUAAAAUAUCCAACAAAAAUAAUAAUAAUGAAAUCGCGUAAAACAAAUAUUGCAAAUUAACAAGUCAUAAUGAAAAUGAUCAUAAUUUAAAAGUACUAAAUCAUGCUAAAAUUAAGUUUAAUAAGUAUUAGUUACAUGACUAAAUAUUAAAGGAAAUUAAAAUUAGAUUAUGUAUUUUAAUUGUCUAAAUCAAUGUAAAACUAAAGAACAAAUAUUCAAUAUUAUUGUCAUUCUUAGUGUUGAAUUGAUUUUGAUUUAAGCUUUAUUAUAAUUACCAACAUAUGUGGAUUAUAAUAUUUAUUGGCCCAUUCACAAUUCUAAGUUUCAAACUUGAAAUAAUAUAUUAAAAGAUAAAAACUAUGAAAAAGUAUAAGAAAUAUUUAAAAAUUAUAUCAAAGUAAAUAUUUUUAUGUAUAAAAUAAAAUUUUAAAAUUAUAUAUAUAAUGUCGGGUUGGUUUGGUCUCGGAUUGGUUUUUUUUAGUUAAAACCAAACCAACCCAAAUAUAGUCGGGUUUUUUUUUUUCAAAACCAAACCAAGUCAAACCAAACCACUAGUCAGGUUUUUUUUUUUGGGUUAACUCGAUUUGUGAUUUGAUUCGAUUUUGAUUCGAUUUUGUACACCCCUACAGUCGAAUAUAGUGAACCCAUUCUUUAACUUUAAUGCUUAAAAAUUACAACAAGAAAGAGAAAAUACAAUUUAAAAUUGACAUGACCCAAUAAAAUUAUAUUAAAUAAAAUAUAAAUAUAAAUAAAAUAAAUUAUGGGUCCACUAUUCUUUAAUGCUCGUCACAUCCAAAAGGGAAAACAAAUUCCGACAUCUUUCUCCUUCAACUUAGAACAUUUUUCUUCUUUCUUUUUCCUUUUAAAUUGAAUUUUUUUAAAAAUAUACUAUAUUCAUCCACUUUUAACUAUUAUAGUUUCGUUUUUAGAAUAAAACUUUAAAAAAUUUUACUAACAUUUUAUGAUGUAUUUUUUCAUUAUAUUAAUAUGUAAAAAAUUGUAAUUUAUAGUACUUCUCGUAUAUUUUUUGAAUAUCUACAUUUUUUAAAAUUAUUGAACUAAUGUAAUCUAAUUUAAUUUUAAAAUUUAGUCAAAUUGACUUUCGAAAAACGCAACAUGACAAAUAAAAGUGGAUGGAGGGAGUAUCUCUCAAAAUAUUAGGAAUUGGUAAAAAAUUUCCUUGAUGAAAUUAUUUUUGUCAAAAAAUUUGAUGAAAUUAUUUUCAAUAUAACAUUCGCAAAAAGAAUAAAGUAAAAUAAAUAAAAGUAAAACUUACUCUAUAAAAUUUUGCAAUUUCUGAAAGGUUUAUUAGGGUCGAGCUGUAGUCUACAGAUGUUUAUACAAUACAAGUCUUAGUUUAAGUAUUUAAAAAAAAUGAUAAUAAUUUCAAAUUUGAAUAUUUAAAUAAAAAUUGACAUGAAAGGAGUGGAUAUUCAAAUUUGAUAAAAAAAAUAAAUUAAUAUUUAAAAUCUAAUUAAGGAAAAGUAAAGAAUUUUUUUUUGAAGGAAAAAUAUUUGUAGCUAUCAUGAACUAUGACAGAGGAUAGAAAAAAAAAGAUAAUCAAACCCUUAUUAGAAAAAUUUACCUUCUAAACUGAAAAUUCUAUCUAAAUCAAAACUAUAUUUGUCAGUAUUAGAAAUUGGUAAAUUUUUCCUAAUGUCAGAAAUAUUCACAACUUAAUUAUAUGUUUAUAUGAAGAUUUUAUCGGAAAAUAUUCAAAAAAAACCAGAGAUUUAAUGUACAAAUUUAAAAUCCUAAAAAAAUAAUUAAUUUGAUAUUUAAAAACUCAAACCAAAUCAAUUCAUGUACAACCAUACAAUUUAUAAUUUAUGACUGACAGUAAAAUUAUAUUUUGAUAGACUUCUCUAUAUUUUGUUAUAUAUUCUACGAUGUGAUGACUUUUGUUGGUCUAUUUGAAUCAAAAUUAAUAAAAAAAUUUGGUCAUUUCCAAUUUCAUUCUUGAAACUUUCAAGAGUCUCCUCAUGUUUACAUUUUAUAUUUCUGUUUGAUCUAUUUAAGUUUUUAGAUAUAUGUGCUCUAAAUUAAGUAUUUUUUAUUCGAUCCGUUUAUAUCCGACUCGACCCGUUUAUUUGUGGAUAUUAUUUGCGUGAUUAGUUUUUUUUUAACCCCCUUGAUGAAAAUCUCGCCUCCAUCACUGGCGAAAUAGUGUUUUAGUGGGUCAUAGGACGUAUAUUUUAGAAUUAGUUAUUUAUCUCUUAGCAUAUAUAUUUGGGCAUGUUGUUUUUGUUAUUUGAAUAACUUCAGUUCAAAAAAUAAAAGAAGAAGUAGCACAAUUUCUCUUUAAUAUUCUCUGCACUUUCCUUGUUUCUCAGAUUUUUGUGUCUUUCCUCUGUUCUCAGCCCAACAAUUCUUGGUAUUAGAGCACAUGUCAACUAACGACAGUUCAUUGAGUGUGGCACAACCACUUAUUCAUGUCUUCAAGAGAGAAAGCUACGAAUUUUGGAGUAUACAUAUGAAAACUAUACUCAAGUCUCAAGAUAACACCAAAUUUUACACUAAAAUAGUGUCACCAUUAUUUUAGUAUAAAUGAACUCCAAUCUAUUACACUAAUUUUUACACUAAAAAAAUAUGUUUUUUUAAAAAUAUUUUUUCUCUAUUUAAUAUUAUAUUAUUAUUUUUUAUUUUAUUAUAUUUUCUUAUUUCAUAAAACAAAUUUAUCUCUUACAAGGCUAGUUCUGGCAUGAGCCUUAUACAUAAAAUUUAACAUCGUCAGAGCUCCAUCUAAAUAUUUUCUUUUUGGAUUCACACUCAAUUUUGUUGUUCUUUUGAAAAUUCUCCUCAAUUUGUUUGCCCUUUUAGGUUUUGGCUCUCCAGACUCAUUUAUAUGUACAAAAAUUGACAUCACUUAAAAAUAAAAUAAUGUAAAUAUUUUUUUUGUUUAAAAAAGAAUGAUCUAGUUUGACUAGACACUAAUUUUUUUAAAAAAAAACUUUACAAUAUGAUGGCCAUAAAUUAAAAUUAUGUCAAAUGUACCAAAAUGCUCUUUAAUAUUAUGGCCUUAAACAUGUCAUGUUGAAAAUUGAAAUUAAAAUGUGGCCAAAAACAAAAAAAAAACAUUAUUUUAAAUAGAUUAAUAAAAAUUAGAUUAUUUUUAAAAAAAUAAAUAAAAUAUUAAUUUUUGUAAAAGAUCAAUCUGAAUCAGUCACAAAACUCCAAGCUCAAACAGACAAAUUGAAUUAAUUGAUUUAUGAUAAUUAAUCGAUAUGAUUGGCACAAAAUCUUGCAUAUAUAUGCGAUUUGACACAUAAGGCCCACGGCCGCAAAAUACACAUGCCUAAAUACCUCCUCCUCUGGUAAAAUGUCAAUGUCUAUAAUGGUAGGGUUGAUGGCAUGAAAAAAGGUAUCAAACAAGUUACUAUUAAUACAUAGAGCUAAUGCAAAUAUUAUUUUUUGUUAAUAAACCUAGCAAAUGAUUCCUUAAUGUAUUAUUCCCUCCAUUUAAAAAAAAUGAUCUGAUUUAAUUUAACAUGAAAUUAAAAAAAAAAUAGAAAUAAUUUUUUAAUCUUGUGGUCUUAAAUUAAAGUAUGCCAAAAUGUCUUUUAGAGCCUGUUUGACAUUACUGGAGGCCAAAAACACUUAUUUUCAGAAAAAAAACAUUUUUGUUGAAAAAUUAAGUGUUUGGCAAAUCAGUAAAAUUGUUUUAAAUGGAAGAAGAAACAAUUUUUCUGUCGUUGGAAAAAAGCUAAAAUCUAUGCUUUUAAAAAAAUUUAGAAGCAGAAACAAAAAUAUAUUUUUCUCGAGACAAUAAUAUCCUUCUCAUAUAUACAUAUUUACCAAUAUACUUCUUAUUAAUUAAUUAUCAUAUUUCAUAGCAGGUAUGGUUAAAUUAGAAUUUUAUUCUUUGUAUAAUGAAUUUUACGUUUAUAUAUUAUAUAUUAUAUAUUAUUUUACACAUUAUUUUGUAGAAUUAGCAAAAAGGUAACAACAAUAUUUUUACAAGAUUAGAAAAAAAAAUUAACAAUUAAAGAUUUCAACCUCCCCAAAAAGGUAUAAUAUUGAUUAAAAAUUUAAACAUGUAAAUUUUAAUUUUUUUAAAAAAAAAUUGUCAAACACAAUUUGCUUAUGAAAAUCACUUUUCAUAUAAAUUAGCCAAAUACAAAUUGUGUUUUUUCAAAAACACUUUUCUAAACAGUCAUUUUAAAAAAGUGCUUCUAAAAUAAAGUUGUUCUUAGAGGCAAUGCCAAACAAACUCUUAAUCUGAUGGCCUAAAAUAUGUCAUGUGGAAUGCUGAAAUGAAAAUGUUAUCAAAAAAGAAAAAAAAUCAUUAUUUUAAAAACAAACUAAAAAGAAAAGUAAAUCAUUUUUUUAAAAUGGAAGGAGUAUUAUUUCUGCUCCUUUUAUGUGAGUGGCUCCUUAUCCUUCUAAUUUUCAGGUGUGCUGAAUUUAGCUGUGGGAAAAAUUUCUGAUAUUUAUAUUAUUGAAUGACCAAUAUACCCCUAUUGCUAUCAGGUAAGCAUGUUGACAAGCAUAUUGACGAUGAUAUGUGUGGUUAUUCUCACUUUUAUAUAUACCCUUUGCAAUAUAAUAUCAAUCAGCAGAGUAUAUACUGAAUAAUAAUUUCUAGAGAUGGCUGCUAAUAGUUAUUCACUACUUCAAGUGGUCACCAAAUGCUCUUUGCAGAAGCCUUCACGUCCAACCAAACUUGAGCACUCCAGGAAUCCACUCUCAUCUACUUUCAAGGUAACGUAACUCACCGUAACAAAAGAGAUAUUUAAUAGAUUUUUUUUUUAAGUGACAAUACUUAUUAUUAUAAAAAUAUUUAAUAGUAAUUGAGUUAAUAUAAAUGAAUAACAUAGAGUGAUGGUUAUGAGAAAUGUCAAAAGAAUAUGAAAAAUUGAUCGAAUCUAAUCAAAUCGAAUCAAUUUAUGUUUUUUUUCAAUAAGAUCAUGAAUUUUUAUUCAAGUGUAUAACCGUCUCAACAAUUGGGAUGACCUUUUUAAUUUAUGAAAAAAACCAAAAAAUUCCCGAACCGAAUAACCUUACGUACAUAAAUAUAUUUAUAUAUUAACAAUAUGUUAAAUUUAAUAUAUAUAAAUAUAUUUUAUAAAAUAUUUUUCAAAUAUAAUUUAAUAUAACCUAGGUUCUAGAUCUCUGGUUACUAGAUGACUAUGAGUGUUUGCUCUUUAAUUAGUCGUUACUAUAAUAGACACUCUAUCUAAAAUUGCUCUUUAAUUAGUCGUUACUGUAAUGGACACUCUAUCAAAAAGUAAAACUUAUGCAAACACUCAUAUUAAAUGUUUAAGAUCAAACAGUAUGGCAACGAAAUUUUACAUUCUUGUUUCCUUGGUGAAGAAUUAAAGUGCGUUUUCAAGAACAUAUUUGCGGAAGAAAUAUUUUAAUAGUAGUAUAUUUUGAGGUGAUAUAACCGAAAAUUAACCGAACCAUACCGAUACCGAAGAGAAACCGAUAUGAAUGGGAUGGUUUUAAAAAAUCUAAUUUUGAUUAUACAUUAUAAAAUAUCCAAAAAAUUGGAAUGAUAUAAUUUUAAAAAAAUAACCGACAGAACUGUCCCAUUGACAUCCCUAAUGGUUAUGGUUAAAUAUAAUAUAAUGAUAAUUAUAUUAUUAUACUAAAUAAUUAUCACAAAUCCUUUAUUUGUUGCAGUGACUAUCAUCUUUUACUGCAGCAUUCUAUUAAUUUGUGCAAUUAGCUAAUUAGGGAUCAUUAAUUAUUAUUGUUAUCAAAUUAAACAUCUACAUUGUUAAAGAAAAAGUUGCAUGAUUUUGACUUGAACAGCCAAUAUUACUGAGGGAGUUGGACCAUUUUCCAAAUAUUUCAUUAGACGUUCCAAAAGCUAUCAAAGACGCUUCGUUCAAUUUAUUGGAAGCUUUUGUUGACUUUAUAUGUGAAUUCGUUGACCAACCAUUGCUUCCAUCUAAGGUAAUUUUCAAUGCUGAACUCUAAAUCCUAAAUCCUUCUUUUUACAUACGUACAUGCUCUUUAACAUCAAAUAUAUUUAUUUUAAUUUUUGAUAGAGUAAUUUUGCACCGGUGGAAGAGAUGAUAGAAGGUACAACAGUAGGAAUAGUUGAAGGGAAAAUUCCAGAUGAUUUUCCAGAGGGUGUUUACGUAAGAAACGGUACAUUGGAUUUUUUUCUACGUACGUUGAAACGAAAUAAAUACGUAGUCCUAUUGUAUCGCGGGCGGGCUUAAUAUAUAGGUAUAUAUAUUAUUAUUGCAGGGCCAAAUCCUCUAUUUGGAGGACUGAAAUCGACGAGAUCUAUAUUUGGUGAAUCGAGCCAUAUGUGGAUUGAGGGUGAAGGAAUGGUUCAUGCUCUCUACUUAAACAAAGAGAAUGGCGGAAAAUGGAAGGCGUUGUACAAGAACAAACAUGUCCAGACAGAUAGCUAUAAUAUGGAAAAGGAUCGAAAGAAACCAGGUUUUCUUCCUGCUAUUCAAGGCGAUUCUAACGCUAUACUCCUCUCCUACCUUCUAAAUUUGGUAUGUAUAUAUUAAUACCUACGUCUAUAUAGUCAAUUGGAGAAGUCGGAUUAAUUAACAUUCAUAAAUUUCAAAUCGUGGAUCCAUUUGUAAUAAUAAUUUGCAGUUGAGGUUUGGUGUGACAGACAAAAGUCUGAGCAACAGUAAUGUGUUUGAACAUGGAAACAAAUACUACUCAAUUGCUGAGAACCAUAUGCCUCAAGAGAUCGACAUACAUUCCCUACAAACUAAGGGAAAUUGGAACAUUUUAAGUGGAUCUUGGAAUAGACCCUUCACAAGCCACCCAAAGGUACGAAUAAUUGUAGUAAUAAAUUUUAUCUUAAAAAAUAGUAUAGACUAUAGUAGUACAUAGUAGUACGAGAUCUUUUAUCUUUAUUUGAGGAGAAAAGUAUUAAAAACACCUCUGAACUUGGCGUAAAUUAUUAGUUUUAUCUCUAAACUAUUGAUAGUUUUAAAAAUACCUCUCUACUUGACUAACUAAACUUGGAUAUAUAUAUAUCCCCAGUACAUCACUGAUCUGCCACAUGAUAUAACAAGUGAUCUCAAAUUCUUGUGGAAGCAUGUGACUCUUAAUAAAAAGCCGAGAAAAGUGUUGAAAACACCCCUAAAUUUAGCGAGAAUUUAGGAGUGUAUUUUACUCAUGUUGCAUGAUCGGGGGUUUAUUUAAGUUCAGUUAGUCAAGUAAAAGUGUGUUUUUAAAGCUAUCAAUAAUUUGGAGAUGACACUAAUAGUUUGGGUGAAGUUUAAAGGUAUUUUCAAUACUUCUCUUAUUUAAUUCGUAUACAACAUACACGCAGAAAGCACCCGGGACGGGAGAACUAGUUAUAAUUGGUAUUGAUGGAAAAAAGCCUUAUAUGGAACUUGGUGUGAUUUCAGGUACCACAUUAUUUCCUUCCCUAUAUAGUAUGUUUAUCUUUAAUCGGACGUUACUCAAUUUACUUAUUAUUUUUAUUUUUUCACGAUGUUACUCAAUUUAUUACCAAUCUUUCAGCCGAUGGGAAAAAAAUGGUUCACAAAGCGGAUCUCAUGUUCGAUAGAUGUACCGUUUGCCAUGAAAUAGGAGUUACACAAAGGUAUAGUAUAUUAUUUCCUAUUUUAAACUACUUGUAUGAUAGAUAGUAUACGUAAAUUUUUACUAAUUGGUCCUACAUAAACUUGUAGAUACAAUGUGAUCAUGAAUUUCCCGCUAAUAGUUGACAUAAGUCAACUUGUUCUUGGAGGCCAGUGAGUAUAUAUAUUAAUUUUCCCUUUUUCAUCUAAACCAAGUAUAUGUAUAUUUUUUAAUUAUAUAUGAUAAAUAUAUUGUGAUUAUGUAGGUUAAUGAAGUUUGAAAAAGAUGGAUAUGCAAGAAUUGGGAUAAUGCCACGCUAUGGUGAUGCCAAUUCCAUCAAAUGGUUUGAGGUCAACCCUUGUAGUGUAUUUCACAUCAUUAAUUGCUUCGAACUUAAUGAUGAGGUACGUACGCACGUAUAUACAUAUAUAUGUCAUCUUGAAGUGUGUAACCGUUUUAUAUUGAGUUUUUCUUUAUUAAAUAAAACUGAAAUACUGAUUAUAACUAAUGAUUAGUAAAUGUUGUUUAAUUUGCAAAGGUGGUGGUGAGAGCAUGUGAAGCUCGUCAAUCAGUUAUACCAGGACCUAGUUCUAGCAUCAACCAUUUUGACAAGUUCUCCAAAUGGUUGAAAAGGGAAACAAGUUCCACAAAUGGCGACUCUCAUGAGUUCACAAAAGAAUCAACUUUUUCUCGUGUUUGCGAAUGGAGAUUAAACAUGAAAACUGGACAAGUU